AACGAACGCUGGUGGCGUGUCUUAUACAUGCAAGUCGAGCGGGGCAGCAAUGCCCAGCGGCGAACGGGUGAGUAACGCGUAAGCAAUCUGCCCCAUAUCAGGAAAUACCCGUGCCAACGCGCGGUUAAUGUCCAGGAGCGUGGCCUCCCGCAUGGGAGGUUGACAAGAGAUUUAUCGGUAUGGGAUGAGCUUGCGUCCGAUUAGCUAGUUGGCGGGGCAACGGCCCACCAAGGCGACGAUCGGUAGCCGGCCUGAGAGGGUGAUCGGCCACAUUGGGACUGAGAUACGGCCCAGACUCCUACGGGAGGCAGCAGUAGGGAAUAUUGCACAAUGGGGAACCCUGAUGCAGCAACGCCACGUGUGGAAGAAGCAUUUCGGAUUGUAAACCUCUGUUUUUAGUGAAGAACAAA
rnacentral:rRNA from 1 species